rnacentral:rRNA from 1 species
GGCGAGUGAAGCGGCAACAGCUCAAAUUUGAAAUCUGGCCUCUUUCGGGGUCCGAGUUGUAAUUUGUAGAGGCAGUUUCGGGUAUGGUCCCGGUCUAAGUUCCUUGGAACAGGACGUCAUGGAGGGUGAGAAUCCCGUGUGUGACCGGGCACUACGCCCAUGUGAAACGCCUUCGACGAGUCGAGUUGUUUGGGAAUGCAGCUCAAAAUGGGUGGUAAAUUUCAUCUAAAGCUAAAUACCGGCCAGAGACCGAUAGCGCACAAGUAGAGUGAUCGAAAGAUGAAAAGCACUUUGGAAAGAGAGUUAAAAAGCAUGUGAAAUUGUUGAAAGGGAAGCGCAGGCAACCAGACUCGCUUCCGGGUGUUCAACCGGUGUUUUCACCGGCGCAUUCGCCCGGUAUCGGGCCAGCAUCGGUUUGGGCGGUCAGAUAAAGGCUCUGGGAAUGUAGCUCCCCUUCGGGGGAGUGUUAUAGCCCUGGGUGCAAUGUGGCCUGCCUGGACCGAGGAACGCGCCUUGUGCACGGAUGCUGGCGUAAUGGUUGUCUGCGGCCCGUCUUGAAACACGGACCAAGGAGUCUAACAUCUAUGCGAGUGUUUGGGUGUCAAACCCACACGCGGAAUGAAAGUGAACGGAGGUGAGAGCUUUCGGGCGCAUCAUCGACCGAUCCUGAUGUCUUCGGAUGGAUUUGAGUAAGAGCAUAGCUGUUGGGACCCGAAAGAUGGUGAACUAUGCCUAACUAGGGUGAAGCCAGAGGAAACUCUGGUGGAGGCUCGCAGCGGUUCUGACGUGCAAAUCGAUCGUCAAAGUNGGGUAUAGGGGCGAAAGACUAAUCGAACCAU